CUUAACCUGUCAAAUGAACAUAAAUGAGCUAAAAAAAAUCCUGGAUUGUCCUAUGGUAGUUCCAUAUUUCCCUGUUCACACACAAGGAGUUGAGAAGGCAGUUAAGGAGGUAACUGCAGCUUCUGAAACAGUGUUUGGUUUUGAGAGACGAAAUGGAUUUAUUCGUGCAAGAGCAGAAAAUAGAUCGAUAAUACCUCGUUUUAACAGCAAGAAGGACCUCAUUAAAUUUUAGCAUUCUUUUUCAGUACCUCUAGUAGAGUUAUAAAGAUUGAAAAAUGAGUUUAA